ensembl:lncRNA
GGCGAUGACAUUCGAGAGUCACACCAUUCUUACUGUCUUUUAACUGCAGGUAAUCAUCAAACAUGGACAGCCUUCAUGUCAUUCUUGUCCUUCUUUUAGGAGGUCAUUGGAUUUCUGGAUCAGUGGUGGAUUUGACAGUGACAUCAGGACAGAACGUCACUCUGAAUUGUGACUGUGAAGCAUUUUCUGAGGAAUAUAUUGUGUGGUACAGAAAUUGUACCCAUGAAAAUCAGCCUCCUCUUGUUCUGAAACUAAAAGAAGAUGCAUGGAAAAAAAUCAGUGACCGAGCAAUUUCAGUGAAUUCUCUAUUACGCUUCCACUUUAAAAAGAAUCAGUCCUCUGGAUCCUAUGAUCUGCUGAUCAUGAAUAUUUCUGAUUCUGAUGAGGGCCUCUAUUACUGUGGAACUGAAAAGGAACAGUGGGUAGAUGGCACAAGCGUUCAGGUCAGAUAUGACCACAGAUAUGCCAGUAUCGCAACAAGAAUCUUAAUCAAUUCACCUCACACAAGUCCUUGCCCUGAUUCCAGUCCUUGCCCUGACUCCACUCUUCACUCUGACUCCAAUACUCGACCUGACUCCACUCCUCGUGCUGUCUACGACAGAACCUGUGGUUCCAGUCUCGUGCCCUGGCUGAUGAUGUUUACACCAGGAUUUUCUAUUCUCAUUUCAUUUUUUUCCUUUAUUUUUAUUUAUCAGUUGUGUCGGAAAACAGGUACUGUAUAUUUUAAUUAUUAGAAUUUAAUUUUUCGAAUUGUUUGACUCACCUUCAAACACACACACACACACACAGUCCUCCACAAAACUAUCUACAACCAUUAAAUGGCAAAUUCUUAAUGGCACUGUUGCUGCUGAAUGCUCCAGUAUGAUAGUGCAUUUUUGUUUAUGCAGAAAAAGAACUUCAAUUUUUUCAGAACAGACCAGAUCACAAUAAUCAAAGGAGACAGAAUGAGGAUGAAGAUUUGUGUUUAACACAAGUCUGGUUCCAGGCUCAAAAUGGACAAAAAAAUCUUUAGACGGAUUCAAGAUGGAGAAAACGCUGUCUUCCACUGAAAAUUAUAUACGUAGUUUGUUUUAUUUAUUUGUAACUGAACAUAUUUAUGUUUUCCUUAAAUUGUAGUUUUGGUGACUGAUGCAUGUAAAUAACUUUAGAAGUAAAACUAACAAAGUAUCCAGAAAAAGAGUGAUGAAUUCUGAUGAUUUUGUCAGAUUUGUGUAAAUUACAGCGCUUAUUAUAGGAAACUAAAUUUUUUAAAUAAAAAAUAUCUUUUCG